GGCGAAGAGGCCCCCGCGGCCGGCCGAGCUCCGUGGACUCCGCAGGAGCGGCCCCGCCCCUCACACUACGCCGGGCGGUUCCCUCCGAGCCCCGCCGGGACAGCGUCGACGCUGCACACACCCCAGAGAAGCCAGAGGACGGCGCCUGCACCGGACACAGCGCAACACCGGCACAGCACAGCGUCCACACCACAAACCACCAGAGCCCCAUCUGAUUAAGGCAUCGAGAUCAAAGCUCAGCAGAGGGCGGCUCAUGAUGGGCAGCUCAAAAAAAUAAACCCACCAAUCAGAGUCCGUGUUCCUGUGACCGGUGGCGGGUUCGGAUGCAGAGGAGGCUUCUCAGUGCGGUUCCUCCUCAUCUCGGAACCUGCCACCCCACUCAAGCCCGACAUAGGCCAGGACAGCCAGGACGGCCGCAGCGAGGGCAACACGAGGCCCGUCGACAUCCUGAGGCCCCCGGGCCUGUCGCCGAGUCCCGGCUUGGGGAGUGUCCCCGGGCCACACUGGUCCUGCUCCCGGCUGUGUGGUCUCCCAGGCGCGUGGCUCCUCCCUCCGGGGCCCAGGCUCUGGUGUGAGCCACUUUUUCCAUAGGAGACGCCCAUACUUGCAGCUCACGCCUUUGUCUGGUGCCCUGGCCUCACACCUAUAGGAAUUGGGUACCUGGGGGCCUCUUCAUCUUUACUUGUCUCAGCUUAGAGAAGCCCAGCUACACUUCCUCCAUGCCUGGAUUCAUGCACGGCCCCACAGGGUGAGGCCUGGACACCCUCACGGGCACUGGGGCUCCACGGAUGCAGAAGGCAGCCUGGCCCGGUAGCUCGGGGGUCUGAGAUGGAGGUGGAGUAAGACAGAGUGACAAAGGCUGCGUCCUGGAGGCAGGCUCGGAGCCUCCCUGAGCUCAGAGAGCCCGCGUGCGCCAGGAAGCCACACCUGCAGGACCCGAGUCGGAACUCAGAGGCUGGUACAGCCGCGGUGCUUGUCCUGUAGAUAAGAAUGGCCUCCUCUGGCGGCCAAAGUUAAUUAAACUGACAAUCUUGAUAAGUUGCACAGUUACCUGCUCGGGGACAAAGAAGAUGGGAGCCUUGUUUGUGGUUUCUUCUUGUUCUUUCCUGUGCCCCACAGUCAUUUUAAAAUUAAAUUAAAUGGCUUAUCUGCACUAA
ensembl:lncRNA LINC02361 long intergenic non-protein coding RNA 2361